UUUGGAGCAUGGGGGUCAUUUGCUACAUGCUGCUGCUGGGCAGGCCUCCAUUCCGAGGGAAGGACAACGUGCACAUCGCCAA
rnacentral:RNase_MRP_RNA from 1 species